rnacentral:lncRNA from 1 species
CUUGCUCCCUCCACCUCCCAAACCAGUCAGAUCCACUCGGUGUCUUCCCCACCCCUCUCUUUGCCCAGCUCCCAGAUGCCACCACCUUUGUGUUUCCUUGUGUCUCUUUGCGGUGUUCCGGUCCAUCUUCUGAUGUAUUUCCUGUUUUUCUGCCUAUCGUGGUCACUCGCUGAGAUCUUAAUUAGUAUUUGUUCUUAUUAACUAUAAAUCCACUGAAUCACACUUGGACUUGCACUGGCUGCCACACACACAGAGCCUCCACCUUGGGGGUCUGCAGGCCUCCCAGGCUUGUUAGACUCGGGUGAACUUUUCUCUCAGACUUCGGGUCGCCCAGCUGGGCUGGCACCAUGGUGGUGGCAGGAAUCAGUGCACCACCCUCAGCAAAUGCGCCCUUCUCUGAGUCCUGCUAAUGCAAUCUAGCAGCCAAUUGACUUAAAUUCCUUCCGCUUUAUUGUUCUCCGUCCUUAGAGAGGCCAGUGCUCAGCAUCUAGCAGGGCUGCGAGGCAGGCCUCCGCCGAUCCUGGAGUUGUAAUUCCCCACUGCUGGCUGCUGCAGUUUUAUUACGGCCUUCUUUUUUCUGAGAUUGACAGACAUAAACCUCCAGUGUGGAGCCUGCGACAGCACCCUUAAAGGCUUCUCUGUGUGGACACGUAACCUUAGGACAAAGUGGGCGCAGCUCCAGGAAAGGCACAGCAGCCUGCUACAGGGAAGGACUGUGCUGGGGCAGACCUCAGGGUUUCUUCUUCUGGCUGGCUCCCUGGGAAGCCUCCCAGGGACAAUGCUUUCUUCCUCUAAGUAGAAUUUUUUGUGGGGGGCCUUCGGGAGAUUGGGAAUACUGCGAGAGGAGACCUGUGGUGGCUGUCCAGGGAACUCCACAUGCAACCAGAGGAACAAGAUGUCCUUCCUUGAGUGAAACCAGAAGGUGUUUUCCCGUCUCUGUCGAAAGAAGUCAUGUGCUGGUCUGGAGAGAACUGAAUUCAGAACCCAAAGCACCUCUGAUUAUCCACUGCUUAGGCAGAACACAGGCAGAAGAUAAAGUGUUCCUGUUAAUGUGCUUCCGCUCUCCCCUAAAGGAGUGAUUUCCAGGAGUGGAGAGGAAGACCAUGUCUACAGAAAUCUUGGCAACCUCUUAUCCAGGAAGACUAUGGAGAUUUCAUGAUCUUGCUGUUGUUUGCAACAAGACUUUAUAGAUGAGGAAACAGGCUCGGAACAGUUGCAGGACUCGAGGAGCUGAGUGUCGGAGCCAGGAAUCAAACAGCUGUGAGGGUCAGGCUCCAGGCCUGUUUUCCUCUCAUUCUUCCUCACCACGGCGCCCACAGUGCAGCAUUCCACCUGGUGCUAAGGCCGUCAGGACAGGCUACAAAAUACUAUUGUACCCACAACGUACUUGUAGCUACUCUAGUUCCAACAGAACCCAACAUCAG